rnacentral:sRNA from 1 species
AUCCCUCUUGUCACCUCUGAAGCUGGGGCUGUAUCUUUCUAUCCCAGAUGCUCCACAGAACCUCGCCAUCAGCAUCUUCUUCAGAAAUGGCACAGGCACAGCCCUGCGGAUCCUGAGCAAUGGCAUGUCGGUGCCCAUCCUGGAGGGCCAGUCCCUGUUCCUCGCCUGCACAGUUGACAGCAAUCCCCCUGCCUCACUGAGCUGGUUCCGGGAGGGAAAAGCCCUCAAUCCUUCCCAGACCUCAGUGUCUGGGAUCCUGGAGCUGCCCAACAUAGGAGCUACAGAGGGAGGGGAAUUCACCUGCCAGGUUCAGCACCCACUGGGCUCCCAGCACCUGUCCUUCAUCCUUUCUGUGCAGAGAAGCUCCUCUUCCUGCAUAUGUGUAACUGAGAAACAGCAGGGCUCCUGGCCCCUUGUCCUCACCCUGAUCAGGGGGGCUCUCAUGGGGGCUGGCUUCCUCCUCACCUACGGCCUCACCUGGAUCUACUAUACCAGGUGUGGAGGCCCCCAGCGGAGCAGGGCUGAGAGGCCUGGCUGAGCCCCUCCUGCUCAAGACAGAACUGAGUAGAGAUGGGGUUUUACCAUGUUGGCCAGGU